AAAACGUGAUCUCAUUUCUUCUUCCAAUAACAUAUAUCAAUAUUGUACAUCCAAUUCCUUCCUCCAUAAAAACGUGAACACCUUUCUUCUUCCAAUCGUAAUAUCAAUGUUGUUCAUCCAGUUCCUUCCUCCACAAGCUUUUUAUCGGAAGAAUCUGCAAGCGUGUUAAACAAACCACCAUGGAAGAUGUACCCCAGCUUCUGUGAGAGUUUUGGAGAAAGGAGAUCUACAUGCAAUUUCUUCUAGCAAUCUUUUUUAACGUAAAACAUUUAAUUUUCUCAUAUGUGAUUCUAUGAUGCUUGAUAAUUAAAAUAUGAUGGCCUUAAUGAAUAAUCUUGAUGAUGUUUUUAGUAAGUCAACAGUUUAGCAUAUGAGAUUAACUUUUUAAAUAUUCAUUUAUAAAAUUUACUGCAGUUUGUAUAAUAACUAAUUACAUAACACCAUAUUCUUGGAUCUAAAAGCAUCUCCAAUAUAAAAUUCUAUUUUUUCUUCUAAAAUAGAAUAAUUCGAUUGUAUAGUUAGUUUACUCCAAUCCUACUCAUUUUUGGAGUGAAAGCAAUGAUGAACAAAAAAAAUAAAAAAAAAAUCUAUUUAUUCUAUUAUAAGUGGAAAAUAUAAUGUGGUUGAAGCAUUUAUUUACUCUAAACUCCUUUUUGAAAUAAAUUAUGAGGUGGGAUUGGAACUAUUCUAAUUGCUCAAAUUCUUAUGACUAUAUAUCUAGGUAAGCCAUGGAAAAGGAAAGGUACAAAUGAUGAGUGUGGGCGUAUACAUGAAGCCUGCACGUGAGAGUUGUAGCUACUCGACAAACGUAUACUAAUUUGUUGCGUACCAUCUCCACUUCAUAUAUAUAUUUAUAUAUCUAUGUGUGUUGAGCUGAGAUAUGAGAAUAAAAUUUGAGAAUAUACCUCAAAAAUGCAAAGAGAAGUAUGUGUUUGUUAUUUAGCAGAUGCACAUGGUGGAGGACAUCCUUCGAUUUCCUCGUGAAUUCCGAAGAGCUAAGUUAUUUUCUUUUAAUUAUACAGCUUUAACCGAGCUAAUUAAUUAAUCGUUACAUAAUUUGAGCACUGUUUGAAGAAGGCAGCGUAUAUAUACACAUUAGUAUAGUAAUACAGUUAUAUAGGAUCCAGUUUUCUUUGUUUGAAAACACUCAUAUGAAUAAUAUAUACUUUUAAAACACGACCUGUAACAUUUUUUGACCCGGUUUAUAUGUAUGUGAUUCAUAUAUUUCUCUAACCACGAUCGAGUACGACUAAAUGUGCUUAUCAAUUAUCAUACACGUCUCUACGUGUUCAUCUAUCUUUUAUUAUUUUUAUCAACCAUUCGUAUUCGUGUACGUUGAAAGGAAUCAUUACGUAGAUGCCCACGAUGUUACCGAAGUUGGAGAAUUAUGUUAUUUAGAAAA
rnacentral:lncRNA from 1 species